CAGCGUUCCUGCUCAAAAAAAGUGCAGGAACGCUGUUCCUGCAGGACUCAAACCAUAGGCGUGCCACGGGGAUUAAGGUGUGCCCAGGCACACCCGGCACACCCCGUGCGCACGCCUAUGUGUUUUGGUGUGUUUUCUGGACUUUAGGGAAAAUGUGUGUUUUUCUGCCUGUGGAUAAUUAGGUUCUUGUAUUAGCUGCUUUAUUUAUAUACCAGGCAGAGGGGAAGGCUUGUGUGCUGUAUGUGGGAGUGUCAGACAUUAUUGUAUUGUUUUGAUUAGUUUGUGUCCUUUGUGUCCUGUGCUCCACAAGGUCCACAUGGGUGAUAACCUUGUGGGGAAAAU